rnacentral:rRNA from 1 species
GACGAACGCUGGCGGCGUGCUUAACACAUGCAAGUCGAACGGAAAGGCCCUGCUUUUGUGGGGUGCUCGCGUGGCGCACGGGUGAGUAACAUGUGAGUAACCUGCCCUUGACUUUGGGAUAACUUCAGGAAACUGGGGCUAAUACCGGCUAGGAGCUCCUGCUGCAUGGUGGGGGUUGGAAAGUUUCGGCGGUUGGGGAUGGACUCGCGGCUUAUCAGCUUGUUGGUGGGGUAGUGGCUUACCAAGGCUUUGACGGGUAGCCGGCCUGAGAGGGUGACCGGCCACAAGGGGACUGAGAGACGGCCCAGACUCCUACGGGAGGCAGCAGUGGGGAAUAUUGCACAAUGGGCGGAAGCCUGAUGCAGCAACGCCGCGUGCGGGAUGACGGCCUUCGUGUGGUAAACCGCUGUCGCCUGUGACGAAGCGUGAGUGACGGUAAUGGGUAAAGAAGCACCGGCUAACUACGUG